AGUGAACGCUGGCGGUAGGCCUAACACAUGCAAGUCGAACGGCAGCACAGUAAGAGCUUGCUCUUACGGGUGGCGAGUGGCGGACGGUGGAGAAAUACAUCGGAAUCUACUUUUUCUUGGGGGAGAACGUAGGGAAACUUACGCUAUUACCGCAUACGACCUACGGGUGAAAGCAGGGGAUCUUCGGACCUUGGGCGAUUGAAUGAGCCGAUGUCGGAUUAGCUAGUUGGCGGGGUAAAGGCCCACCAAGGCGACGAUCCGUAGCUGGUCUGAGAGGAUGAUCAGCCACACUGGAACUGAGACACGGUCCAGACUCCUACGGGAGGCAGCAGUGGGGAAUAUUGGACAAUGGGCGCAAGCCUGAUCCAGCCAUACCGCGUGGGUGAAGAAGGCCUUCGGGUUGUAAAGCCCUUUUGUUGGGAAAGAAAAGCAGCAGGUUAAUACCCCGCUGUUCUGACGGUACCCAAAGAAUAAGCACCGGCUAACUUCGUG
rnacentral:rRNA from 1 species